rnacentral:rRNA from 1 species
CCCGCUGAACUUAAGCAUAUCAAUAAGCGGAGGAAAAGAAACUAACAAGGAUUCCCUCAGUAACGGCGAGUGAAGCGGGAAGAGCUCAAAUUUGAAAUCUAGCGUGGACACUACGCUUCCACCUAGAGUUGUAGUUUAUAGAAACGUUUUCGGCAACGCCCAUAGUAUAAAUCCUUUGGAACAGGGUAUCGUAGAGGGUGAGAAUCCCGUCUGUGACUGUGGGGUACAAUCAGUUGCUAUGUGAUACGUUUUCAAAGAGUCGGGUUGUUUGGGAUUGCAGCCCAAAAUGGGUGGUAAAUUUCAUCUAAGGCUAAAUAUUGGCGAGAGACCGAUAGCGAACAAGUACCGUGAGGGAAAGAUGAAAAGAACUUUGAAAAGAGAGUUAAAUAGUACGUGAAAUUGUUAAAAGGGAAACGUUUUAUUGGAGUAUAUUGUUGUGGAGGUCAGUUGUUGGUGGGGUCGUAGUUUUUACGGUUCCUUCAACGACGUAUUUUUCUCACGACAAGUGUCAGUAUCGGUUUUCAAUGUUUGGAUAAGCGUAGCUGGAAGGUAGGUCUCGCUUCGGUGGGGCUGUUUAUAGACAGUUGCAGUGGAUACAGACAAGGAGACCGAGGACUGCAAGGAGUACUGGAAAGUUAAUUUCUGGUGUGGUAGAUUGUAGUGUGCUGUAUAGGGACUAGAGUUAUGGACAAUCUAAUUGACUAUGACCCUAGUGCACUUGCAACCAUACUACUCAUACUCCCUCCUUAAAGAUACUGACGAAAUCCAAUUGAACGACCCGUCUUGAAACACGG